UUAAUUCCAUUUCUCUGAUUUUCCACAGGACGUCCUCCGGGAGAAACAGAAUCACAUCGAGCAACUGAUGCGAGAGCGGGAAAUCGACCGAGAGGAAAACGCCAAUCAGACAAUCAUGUACCAAAAGAGCGUGCAACAGCGUGACACCGACAGCGAAGUGGGCCGUUGGGCCGAUUUGGUACGUCGACGAGCCCUCCGAAUUGCCGACCUGCGCCGUGAAUUCCAAGGCUGGCACGGUAAUCACGAACGGCACUGCAUUCUUCACGAUGUCCUUUUGGCUUGAGCUGAAAACUGAUGGUGAUGUGGAUAGAAAGACAGACGGAAGGACGAACGAACAGACAGCAGGAUGAAAUACAUAUUUUUUCUCGAGAAAAGUAUGGUGGAUAAUGAACUGAAUGAAGGAGCAGCGGAAAAGAAUAUGGCAGAGCACGGAAACUUGAGAGCCAUCACCCAACGAAUCAAGUCUCACUCGAGACUUGAUGAAUGGAACUUCCGGAACUUAAUGCAGAUGACUAUUUAACGACGUUAUUUUUAAUACACAGCUGCACACAAUCGGAAACGGUUUCUGGCGAACGAGGGCUUGAUCAAUAAAAAAAUGCAACACCUUGCUUUUGUUUUAUUUAAAUAUUUAGGGAAUAGAUGGUAAGGCAUGCGCUAGUUUUAGAAACGAAUGUAUUAUUAGACAAUUAAGGCUUGUCCAUAUUUUGUUCGCUGUUCUGUUUUUUAAACUAUGUGAAACUGCAUUAAAGCUAUUGUCCCAAGUA